GAGUUCUUAGUCUCCAGGUCAGAGUUCUUAGUCUCCAGGUCAGAGAUUGUAAUGGAUUGCUCUGUAUUCUUAGUCUCCAGGUCAGAGUUCUUAGUCUCCAGGUCCGAGUUCUUAGUCUCCAGGUCAGAGAUUGUAAUGGAUUGCUCUGUAGUCUUAGUCUCCAGGUCCGAGUUCUUAGUCUCCAGGUCCGAGUUCUUAGUCUCCAGGUCAGAGUUCUUAGUCUCCAGAUCAGUGACUGCUUUAGACAACUCAAAAUUCUUUUCUUUCAUCAAGGCUAAAUUUUCCUCAAGUCUGCUUAAACUAAUUUCAAUUGUUGAAAUAAGCUUGUCAUACUGUGCUUUAAUAAUGUUUUUGCACAUAUC